UUCUUUUUAGAAUGCAUUUCAAGAGUUCUGUAUUUCUUUUUUGCAUUGUUUAUGGCUUCUUCGUUGCUGUUGGGUUUGAUGGGACUAUGUGUAGUUAUCCGUGGAUAGAAUUCAAUGGACAUUGUUAUAUGUUUGGGAUGGACAAAAAAAGUUGGUUUGAAAGCAAAGUUGCAUGCAACACAAGAAAUGCCUAUCUUGCUAAAGUGGAAACACCUAGGGAAAAUGACUAGAUUAUCCAGCAAC